AGAAAGUUACUUGGUACAUCGGUGACAGGUGGUGCAUGGUUGUCGUCAGCUCGUGUCGUGAGAUGUUGGGUUUAAGUCCCGCAACGAGCGCAACCCCUAUUGUUAGUUGCCAUCAUUCAGUUGGGCACUCUAGCGAGACUGCCGGUAAUAACCGGAGAAGUGGGGAUGACGUCAAAUCAUCAUGCCCCUUAUGACCUGGGCUACACACGUGCUACAAUGGUUGGUACAACGAGUUGCGAGUCGGUGACGGCGAGCUAAUCUCUUAAAGCCAAUCUCAGUUCGGAUUGUAGGCUGCAACUCGCCUACAUGAAGUCGGAAUCGCUAGUAAUCGCGGAUCAGCACGCCGCGGUGAAUACGUUCCCGGGCCUU
rnacentral:rRNA from 1 species